GAGCACUAUACAAAAUUGAACAUCAGAAACGCAUUGUCUGAUCAACACAAUCUCAUUGUGACAUCAAGUAAACAUUGUGACAUCAAACACCAAAUGUAUCAUCUCUACUUACAAUGCUUGCAUAAAACUAAAAUGUUAUUUAAACUUAGUUAGGCCAAUAAUAGAAUAUGCAUCCUCUGUUUGGGACCACUCAACUCAAGAAAACAUUAAGAAACUGGAACAGACAUAAAAUAGAAC